rnacentral:rRNA from 1 species
GAUGAACGCUGGCGGCGUGCCUAAUACAUGCAAGUCGAGCGAACAGACGAGGAGCUUGCUCCUCUGACGUUAGCGGCGGACGUGUGAGUAACACGUGUAUAACCUACCUAUAAGACUGGGAUAACUUCGGGAAACCGGAGCUAAUACCGGAUAAUAUAUUGAACCGCAUGGUUCAAUAGUGAAAGACGGUUUUGCUGUCACUUAUAGAUGGAUCCGCGCCGCAUUAGCUAGUUGGUAAGGUAACGGCUUACCAAGGCGACGAUGCGUAGGCGAACUGAGAGGGUGAUCGGCCACAUGGGAACUGAGACACGGUCAAGACUCCUACGGGAGGCAGCAGUAGGGAAUCUUACGCAAUGGGCGAAAGCAUGACGGAGCAACGCCGCGUGAGUGAUGAAGGUCUUCGGAUCGUAAAACUCUGUUAUUAGGGAAGAACAAAUGUGUAAGUAACUAUGCACGUCUUGACGGUACCUAAUCAGAAAGCAACGGCUAACUACGUG